rnacentral:tRNA from 1 species
GUGGAUGUAGCUCAGCUGGUUAGAGCGCCAGGUUGUGGCCCUGGAGGCCGUGGGUUCGAAUCCCAUCAUUCACCCCA